CCCGGAGGUGGCGCGCACGAUCCGGACAGGUUUCUCGCGGCUUUGAAAUGAAGGGGUCUUGAAACUGACACUCGUUUGAUUUAACCAGCUUAAUAAGUUUAUUUAGAUCAAGAGGAAAUACUUCCCUGGAGUAUUUUGGAUUGAAAACAUUAUCCUGCAAGUUUUCGUAUGCUGUGGUUAUUUGCGACUGGUACCAAAGCCGGUUCUUGGCUAUGGGUUUUGCUUGUUAGGUCUUGGCGCUGGGUCCCACCAGGUUCCCAGACCUCGUGUGGCUAAUUUUAGUAACGUGUUACGUGACACGAGGUUGUGGGGCCACUACCAAUGCUGCUGCCUUUUGUGAAGCCUGUUUCCAAGGGGCCUAAGCCGAUGGGCGUGGAUACUGCUGUACUCUGCUCUGUCCUGCGUGCCUUAAAAUUUUCUGAAGUGCUGAUUUCGGCUCGUGAAGUUUAACUUCAGUCAAGCUGUGCCUUCACUGGUCUUUGGGGCGGAGGCCAAUUCACAAUAGUUUAUGGCUGCAAAUUUUCUGAUGCCCACUCCACAAGCAAACUUCAGAUCUUUU